rnacentral:lncRNA from 1 species
CCGACGCCAAAAGCAGCCGCGCAUCUCUUAACGGUCACCGCGUCCAAGCGUUCAAAGUUUCUUACGCACGCAGAGGCGGCUUGUGGCGUUCGUCUCCGGCAACGUCGCCCGGUCACCGACGAUGUCGGCUCCCCUGCCCCCCACGUCUCCGUCAACCUUCGUGUUCUCCUUCCCACAAGUGAGCCUCUGUAUCCUCCGCCUCUAAUUUGGUGGAAUCAAUGUUUGGUCUAAGUGAUAUCCUGUUGUCCCGUGUUGUAUCAUCCAAAUGUUCGAUCAAAUGCUUGUGUGAACCAGCCGUGUGCCCUUGAUUCUUGCAAAACUUUGGUUAGUCUCUAGUUCUCUAUUUUUUGAGAUCAGCCUCUAUUUUGGUAGUCACAUUCUGGAUAUUUGGUGCUAGAUAUCUGUGUGUUCCCUACGGUUUGCUGUCUGUACUUGGCUGAAAUUCAGUUCGAGAAGAAUCUUUGGGUCAUGGAUUCUUGGCAUUACGAGGGAUAUAUAGGGCUUAUAUUAGGUAAGCUGUGAAGAGAAAGUGAGUGAUUAAUAGCUUGGUACUAGUACAGUAGCUGGGAUAGAUUGAGACCAGUAAGAUAGUUUAUUUCCAGUUAAAUCAGAAGUCAUUAGUGGCAGAGUAAAUAAAACUAGUUCAAAGCAAAAACAACUGCUGACAUUAGCUGCCAGAUGUACUUCUACCCUGCAGCCAAUGUUUUCCAGUUGAAGUGGACUGUAUGAUGUUGAAUUCAAAUGAUCUGCAUUCAAUUUGUACCCUUUUUUCAUUUUUACCAAGUAAGAAUACAGUGGUUUAUUUGAUACAAUAGGACAUAAUUGGUCCCCUGGUAACUACACAAGAAAUUACAUUGUUUUUACUGUACCACCUAGAAUGGAAUAACGCCGGCAAGUAAGAAAUGGAGACCUACAUACAACAGGGCAACAAGUACAAAGAUAACCGGCAACAAGACAACUAGGAUGAUCGGCCUCUUUGCCCACCGUCCCAUGAUUGCUAGUGCAAAUGGGUAGAGGAGAAACAUGAUCCAUAUGUUGAACAGCAGACCCAGUGCUGCAUGCAUCUUCUUCGCUGCUGUCCAUGUGCCAAUGUAUACCACGGUUUUGCCCAGGGCUACACCAAUGGCACUAACAUUGCAAAACAGAACUAGCAUUGUCGGGAUGAGCAUUGGCACCCAUCGAAAAUCAUACAAGUCGGCAAACCUGUCAUUGUCGUCAGCUGCUGUUUGCUUUGAAGUGACCCUGAAGUGUAUGCCCUUCUUUGUGAGGAGGUUCACUGCCAUGUGCAGCACUGCCGCUGGGUAUGCGCUUGUUGAGCCGAUCAUGAAGAACUGCUCGUUGCGCCAGUAGUCCAGCCAUGUGACCCCCGCCCACUUUAUCUCGAGCCAGCCAAUCAUGUGAAUCAUCACGAUGAUUACAAGAAGGUACACGACGUACCUAGUGAAUGGUCUCUGGAUGUAUACUUCAUCAGGGAUAAGCCACAUCACCGGGCUUAGAGCAUAGAUCAGGAUGAAGACUGAUGUGACUGGGUAGAUUGUCAUGUUGAGGUAGGAGACACGCUGAAGAGGUUGGAUCCGACGCCCACCAAUGAAUGGGUUAUUGUGGGAGAAGAACAUCUCUAGAGACCCACCAGACCAACGCACAAUCUGAUGGAGGCGCUCAGUAAGGUUGAUCGGUGCAAUGCCACAGAAUGCGUCAUGCUCCAUUGUACAAUACAUGGAGCGCCACCCUUGCCCAUGGAUGCGAAAUCCAGUCACUAUGUCUUCUGUGGCUAUGUCAUAGAUAUACCCUACACCCUUGCCCCAAUCAGUCCCUUUGUCAAAAGAACAUGUCACGACCCUCUCUAACUCGGUGAGAAAUGUGUCAUCAAGUGGUGGUGGUGUGGCUGACCUUUCUUGUUUUAGGGCUUCUGACACUGAAUCUAGGAAGAGUGCUGAGUCACCGAACCUGCUAGCCUCGGCUGUGACAUUCUCUGCUCUGCAGUGGGGUGGGUCAAUACCAUAGAGUGCUAAGCGACGGAACAUGCAACCAGUGCCGAGGUAUGAGGGUCCUUGCAAGCCAUUAAGAGCAAGCAUGGUUCCAUCAAAGAAUACCCGAUUGUGGUUGCCAUAGCGGUCCGUUGGGUCAACAUUGUCGAAGCGCUGUGGGAACUGGACGAAGGCAGUGUUAUCACCAUCUCGCUGGUCUAGCAUGAAGCAGACCGCAGAACGUAGGGCUUGAGAAUUGUUGAUGUAGUGGUCGCAGUCAAAGUUGAUGAUGAGUUGGGCAUUAGUCAGAAGAGCAGAGGCCCGCAACUGGGCAUUCAGGGCACCUGCCUUCUUGUUGUGAUCAUAGCUUGGGUUUUUCUCACGAGAGACAUAGACAAGCAUCGGGAGGCGCUCAUCAGUGGCACCGAUGCUGGGAAUGCCUUCAGCAUUCGGUUGUGAAUGCCCACGGCUUGGAUGAUCCAGGACAACCUGUUAAAGAAGGAAUCAAACCAUCAGUGGCCAAAUUAAGGUAACAACACUACAUUGCCCAACAUUAAAUAUCCCUGAACUGAAGUUAGUGGGUUGCAUGAGUAUCUCAGUUAUUUACUUGCUAAAACAUAGAUAACAACUAAUCUGAACUUCAGUACCUUAGCAAUUGGAUCAUGGUGUCCUUUUCCAUGGGUUUCUGUCGAAUCAAUCCAUGUGCCUGGCCAUUGUGUCCCAUUUGCCAUCCAAGUCGCCUUUGCAUCUCCUUCCGCAGUUCUCAUGCUGUUGUACAUAUCAGACCUCUUGCGGAUGGUAUCCGGGAGCUUGUCCAAACGCACCUUGAACUCAUCAUACUCCAUCUGCACCCUCCUGUAAUCAUUCAAGAAUUCCUGCGAUUCUCUUCCAGCCUGCGGUGGCGCCACCAUCUCGAAGUAGCUCUCUGGUGCUCGUGGCUCAAUGCAGUACUUGCGGCAGAAUGGAACCCAAAGAGGCGCAAACUUUCCAACCUCGACCAAUGCUUCGUAGAGCACCAGCGCCCCGCUAUCAUCCGAGAGAUAGCAGGCAAGCCUGUUGACCGGGUAGUCGACAGCGAGGAUGGAGAGGACACAGUUCAUGGUGUAGAGUAUGGGCUCGUCGACGGGGUUGGCGGUGGUGACGAAAACAUCAAUGCCGGGGAGCCUGGAGGUGCCAUCGGGGAGGUCAAAGUGCCUCUUGAGGGCGACGAGGUCUGGGAUGGUCUUGACGGGGUUGAACUUCGGGAGCUGGUUGAGGAGCCACGAGAAGCCAAACCAAACGUCGCCGACGAUCGACAUGGUCCAGAACCACAUGACGUCGGAUUUGUUGUGCCUGAUGCGCCAUGCGAAGAAGAGAAGGACGGCGAUCAAGCGUAUGAUGAUCAGCAACCUGUUACAUGAAUACACGUUGUCAGGUCUCGCAUAGAAAUGCAAGUUGAUGUCUGUGCUCUCGUGUAUGUGACCAGAAAGGAAACAGCCCUCCUGCAAGAUCCAGUCAAUUCUGUCGGCAUCAAAACUAGUGCUUGGAACAUGAUGCCCAGUGGAGGCUCAGGUCAACGGUUUGAUCACUAAAAGAAAAUUCUGCCAGCAGGAUCUAAGCUGGCAAAAUCUAACAGGCAACUAGGAAAUGCACAUCUUCAAAGCAAAUAGAAACUAUUUACACAGCGAGCUGUAACUAAAGACAUAUCCAAAGCAAAUAGAAACUAUUUACACAGCGAGCUGUAUCUACUAUUCCUAUGCACGCCACCCAUUAAAAAAAAUAGCUGAGCUGGCUUACCUGUAGGGCUGCAGGAGGGCGCCUUUGACCUUGUACCUCCGGAACAGCAGCGCGCGGCCGUCCUCACCGCCGGACUCCUUCGCCGCCCGCCUCUCCGCCUUGUCGGAGGCCACCCAGUACUUGCCCUUGGCACCGUGGCCGGCCUUCUUCGCGGCGGCACCAUGGCCGUUCGCGCUCGCUAGAAGCGGGUCGGUGAGGCCGCCAUUGGCCACAUAGACGGCACCGGCUGCCGGCGCCGGCGAAGCCAUGCCUGCAGCAAGGCAAGGCCUAGCUAGCUGCGAUCGUUUUCCUCUUUUCCAAUGACCAGAUGGAGGAAGGUGAAGGGCACUGACACUCAAGCCAGUGCAGUGGCACACGACGGGAGGAGGCCAGGAGCUGUGCACUUAUAUAGGAGGAGGCACGACGGCUGCCGGGUCGAUGCACGAGGGGGCCUGGGGGGCGUGCCGGCCGGGUUGCGGGGCAGUUCACAGGUUGUACACACACCUGCCGCGAAAUGCAUCCAGGUCUUUGUUACCAUCUAUGGCCGAUGGAUCCGUCGAUCCGGCGGUGUGUCUACAAACUAAACUACCAGCAUCCAUGCAGAAAACGUGGACCGGGAACUCCUCACCAGUCACCUCCUGUUCAUGUGAUCCGGCGAGGUAUCGGACAGCAAGGCAACGGCCGGAAUUCACGGGAGUGCACGGCGAGCACGUCGCGGCGCAGUGCAAGACUGCAAAUGGAGGCUUGAAGCCAUGUUUUUUCUUUUGCACACUGUCAGGCCUAUUCGUUAACCCAGCUGUGCUCUGGACCUCUGGUUGUUAACUGGAACAGUAAGUUCGAUAUGUGGGAGUUCUGUCAAAGUCAGCUUCUGGCUCAUUGCCGAUCGGAAGAUGGAAACAGGAGAUCGGUUUGUCUCUUCUUUCGGUUUUUAAUCUUGGAGCAACCUGCGCAAGUGGACUGUGUGGUUGCAAUGAUCGGAUCUGUCUUGAACACGCAGCAGCCUUACCAUCAGCAUCGGCAUCGGCAUCGGCAUGGGAAACUAGAUCUUGUCACCGUGAGGAACAUGGAAGGGGGACUAAGAAAACCAUAUAUUCCUGGCGCAGUUUGUCUGUUCACUUCUCACCUCCCAGAUCUGAGACCAGUUAGUUUAAGCACAACUUGUUGCGUGCCUGCACUUGUUUACUCUGAUCAUGAUCGUGCUGCAUGUUCCUGCCUGCCGUUUGUGUUCCAGCAAGGGAUCUUUUUUUUAGUCAGGAAUCUCUCUAGCUAGCUUACAACGGUUGAGAUCAGAUCUGAAUUGGGGCAAACACAUCUACUAAGUACCAGUACCCAGGACCAGGAGAUACAUAAUUUCGCGUGCCGAUUGACCGAUGGAAAUGAGAGAAAUUGACCUAAUUGAUUGCAGAAAAAUGGCUACAAAUUCACGUGCUAAUCACAAAACGAGGAGAAUCUAAUGGCUCUAUUAUUAGGUAGCGUGAUGGAGAUUUAUGCUUAAAGAUUAAUGGUUUAGCACUCUUAUAUGGCCAAAAUCUAAGACUCGUUAUUUAUGGGUUAGUUGGGUGCUGUGAGUCGCACGAGCUAGAUCAUGGGCUCAAUCAUGGAAGAAAAAAGGGCAUAUACUAUUUUUUCAGCUGCGUGUCUCUGUUAGUGAAAGCUUUUUUGGAAUAACAGGACAUCGCAAAAUGACGCCCCAGUUCCAUUAAAAUGAGACUUAGGUGCGGAGAGCAGUUAACCUUAGCGCAAAAGUAAAAGAAUGUUUGGACUGCAUGCAGCAGUUAACAAAAUGAACAAAGUCUCAGACCAUAUAAGAACAUUCAGGCUGCGGUAGAUUUGAUAUUUUACAUCUGUGCUCUGUGGCCAUUAAAAUAUUAUUCACCAUGAGUGCUUCCAUAGUGCCAGGCUGCCAGCCUUCCAUCCAUGUAGAGGUCUUUCAGUCGCUCUUUAGUUGUCAAGGUGCCUUCUAUAAUGUCUUCAGACACAAAGUCACCGAUCCAUCUUUUUAACUUGCACGGAGUCCUUGAAUAUUGGUUGCCAACUUACAAGCCUUUACAUGAUUCUUCUCAAAUAACUUUGACAACUACUGCAGUACAACUGAUACUGAAGAUUAAUAUGAUUUCUACUUUUCGGUAAAGCUCACAAAACUGCUAGACAAACAAUAUCCAAACUGCCUACUUUUUUUUUUGAUAAAAAAACUGCCUACUUUUUAUUACUCAUUCAAAGUUUGCUUUGGACUCAUAAUCAUUCCCCAAGGCAGAAAAAGCCCAUACAGCACUGCAGCAGAUAUCUCUGUUCCAAUUGGUGCAUAUCAUCAUAUGAACCUUUUUGUUCUGGAAAACUUUCCACAAAAGUCAUAUAUACGUGAAACCAUCAUUAUACAUGUUAUAUAGUAAGUUGGAGUCCCACUGGCAUCUAUCUGCCCAACCGUUUCACAGUUUAGAGUGUGAAAAACAUAUUACCGAUUAGCAAAAACAUCAUGGAUGGAUAAAGUUGCUACAAGUUACUCUACAUAUCGGGCCAUAAUUUUUCUACGAAAAUAUGUCAGAAUCAUGGUGAAUUGAUACCUGAAUUUUCCGUAUAUGAAUUGAUCUUGUUUUGUCUACUCAAUGAAAUAGACAACCAAAAGAUGAUGGUUCUAAGAAAUUUGUGGCUUCAGAGUGCAGAGUUGCAUCUAAACUAGUGUGAUCACAGAUAAAUGGAUCCUCAGCUCAAGCCUGAAUCAACAUUAGGUACCUGAUCAUAGAGACACCCAUACAAUGUUUCUUAAUCAAGUUACCUUCUUUCAUCUCAUGUCUUAACUAUCGUACUAACUUGGCCAUAAAAUAAUCGAGAUUGCGCCUCGUUCAGAUGCAUGCUUUCGUAGUAACAAGCUAGAAGCCUGGCAAACAGGUAUGAGGGCUCCAUGUGCAGAAUACAUCGGGUGCCCUAUACGCUGGAUCUAGAAAAGAUGAGCUUGCUGUAUACACGCAUCGGUCGAUUUGAAGGUAUCUGAAUAUUCUAUCGGUGGUUCGUUCAAAAAAAAAAUCUAUCGUUUGGUCUUAGAAUAAGGGUAUGACACCAUCGGCCCUUCAAGCGGCAUCCAUCUGUGAUGCUACGCAACUGUUUAGGUAAUGUGGAAAAACAUUUGCAAGUUUUGUCUGCGAGAAUAGGGAAGUUUUUUUAAGAAAAAUUAUUUGGAUGAUGGAAAUAAUUGAGGCCCUUCACAGGGAUCCGAUCUAGUUUGGCAGUUUGCUAUGAUUUUAGAGACCAGCACUCAGCAGCCCAUGCAUGCUAAUCAAAUCGAUGAAAUGAAAUAGAGCAAUAUUCCAGCCCGGUGCACUAAAAAAGAAAGGAACAUCACUGGGCUAAAUAUGGCCCAGGUGACGAACAUCCCAGUGUCCGCGGGCCCAUAAGGUCUCCUCCAACAAGGACAGACAGGUCAGCUAGCUCAUAAAGAUCCACAUCAGCAUUUUGGUUACGAGAGAGAAUACCCGGAGAGAGAAAAACGUCCACGCUUAGCUCGAACGGAAUACGAGGUCCGACGGGCCUGCUAGCACACCCCCUCUCUCUCCGUGUCUCGCUUCUCCUCUUCUCCGCCCCUUCGCAUCACCAAGGACGCAAGAAUGGGGCUAUCGGCGUGCGAGGUGAUGCAGAGCUUGAGCGCGGGCUUCGUCGGGGCUGGCGGUCGCGGGGUUGGGCACGAGGUGGGGCGGAGCGUGGGGCGGCCACGGGUCUGGCACGCGCGAGCCGGGGCGGAGCGCGGCCGGCCUCAUCGGGGUCGGUGGCCAGCAUAAUCACCGCGCAAGGCGAGCGUAGUGCGGCCGACUUCACCGAGGCUGGUGGGGUGGUAGCGGCCAGCACGCCCGAGACGUGUGUGACCCGACUGUGGUGGUGGCUGGCGCGCGAGGCGACAGGGAGCACGGCGGACGGCCUCGCCAGCGGCUGGCAUCGUGUGAUGCGCGUGGGAAAGGAUGGAACAGCGGAGACCCGGUGUCUCUUGGGCAGAUUCCUAGCGAUCUCUGACUCCAUGUUCUUGUUGUACGUCUGCGUGAAGAAUUAGAUGGAGCCAUGGAGGAGAACGAAUCUGAUGGAAAGACAAGAUAAUACACUGUAUCUGGUGGAAACCAGAGCCACUGUGCAACCUUGAAAACUCUGAAUCAAGGCUACAAGAUGCUCAUCCAAUGGAUAGGGUUAGAGAUGGGGUUAAUUUGCACUUAAGCGCCCGCCGGCUAGCAACACAAAAUGAUAUUUUGCGAAUCCCCCCUGGACCCUGCCCCCUCCAAACCCCCCUGCCAUGGAGUCCGAUGCGUGCGGCGUUUCGUCUCUCACACGGACCGAACACGCCGCCGCCAUGGACCCUGUGCACGGGCAGCGGACGGACGCACUCUCUCAAGUCGUUGCCAUUGAUCCCAUCAUCGCCGUUGAUUCUGUCUCCAUUGACACCAACAAUGUCAGACUUACAGGAAGAAGUUUUGAGGCUGCCGCCAUGGAUCAUGCUGUCAUCACCGUCGACGCCGAAGUUGGAGGACUCAUAGGAAGAAGGUUCCAUGCUGCCAGGCGCUCCGAUGUCCAAUGCGCCGUGUGUAAGCAAUAUAAUCACGCAGAGUUGUUUAUUUACACCCAUUGCAAAGAAUAUUUGAAGCCCAUGGUUGGAAUGAUGUUUGAUACACUCACGGAUGUGGAGAAAUUUUACAAAUCGUAUGCACAUGAAGCUGGUUUCUCUGUUCGUGUUGGUCAGCACAAGAAGCAAAAUGAGGAAAUAUUAAUCAAGCGGUAUUAUUAUUCAAGGGAAGGGUACGGAAAGGAGAAUGUAAAAAAUAUUAUUGAUGAAUCCGGAAAAAAAGAGAAAGACACAUAAUAUGAUGGAAACCAGAUGUGGUUGUGAGGCACAUAUUGUUGUCAAGCUUGGCAGUGACAAGAAAAAUCGGAUAGCUUCAAUGGUUGAGGAGCACAGCCAUGGUUUUAUAUCACCAGAUAAGAGGCAUUUGCUAAGAUCCAACCAUAAUGUUAGUGACAGGGCAAAGAGUGCUUUGUUCAAUUGUCAUAGGCUAGCAUUGGCACCUCACAGGCAUAUAGACUUCUCCAUGUUAGUGAGGGUGGGUUUCAGAAUGUUGGGUACACGCUGAGGGAUUUGCAAAACUAUUACCGUGACCUCAGGACCAAAAUCAAGGAUGCAGAUGCACAAAUGUUUGAGGCACAACUUGAGCAAAAGAAGGAAGUAAAUCUUGGCUUCUUUUAUGACUUUAUGGUGGAUGAACAAGGAUGACUUAGAGGAGGAGAGUGGGGUGUGCCAAUGAACAAGGAGGGAAAAUCCUGGCUUCUUUUACAACUAUUACCCUAUAGCUAGCAGGGUGCCACGUCAGCACGUGGAACCCACUAACCGUUGACCCAUUGAUCGGGCCAACACUGACAUCAUCAGGGCCCACUGAUGACGUCAGCAAGACGCGUGGCACGCUCUAGUGUUGCCACGUGUCACGCCUGUGAUUUUCCUAUUUUUCGCAAAUUAUUUUAAAAUCUUGAAAAUGAUUUCAACUUCAAAAAUUCAUAACUAAUUCAUCUUAACUCCAAAAAUUAUGAAACCAAUUUCAUAAUUUUUCUAAAAUCAUAAAGAACACAAUAGACUAGUCCUUGGACUUGCUCCUACGGAACCAAGAUUGAAAGGAUGAAAUGAUUAACGAGCAUUGCGAUACUGAUCCAAUGUGUUUUGCAGAAAUGUUUAAGGAUUGGUCGUGGCUGGAUUUAUUGUAAAUUUAUUUCAAACCUAAAUUUGGAUUUUAUGCUAUUUUAUAGAAAAUAGAAAUACUUCAUGAUGAUGGAUCAUCAGGUUAAGAUCGAGCUAAACCAAUCCAUUUUUUCUAUAAACAUACGACAUGCCAACGGUUAAACAACUUACUAGAAAUGCAAGACAACCAAUACGAAAUGCUAGAAAAUCGGCCGCGCUUAAGGGAUGUCCUCAGCAUCAAGAAACAUGUGCUAGGGUGUAUGUGCGACUCGUUCAGAUCAUGAGUUCAAACAAAUAAGAAUUUUUUUUGUUUUGGUCUUCUUUGGUUCUCUUUUGGUUCUUCUUUGCAAAUAGACCCUUGGUAAUUAUGAUAAUCACGUAAUUAGGAGCUGCUGAAGACUCGGAGUUGAACCCGGAGCCGGAGCCGUUCAACGAUCACUAUGAGGAGGAAGAAGACUCGGAGCUAAACCCGGAGCCGGAGCCGUUCAAGGAUCACUACGAGGAGGAGGACUACUCAGGUUCACGCCCAUUCGAUUUGAAUACCCAUUAGGCAUUGCUACUAGUACGCUAGUGCUUUAUUUCUUCGUAUGAUGAUGAUGAACCAUGCAUAGCUUAUUUUAUGCCUUGAAUCCUUGCUUGACCUACUACCAUACUACUAUAUUGCGAUGUGCAAUGCUUGCAUGUGUAUAGGAUAUCGUGAAUAGGAUUCUUGGCGUGAGUGGGGUUAAAACCGGCAGGAGAAGGUGUUUUUGGAAUACUUGACGAGGGUGAGCUUUACACUAGUCAAUCUUUGGAUUGGGGGCUUGGGUUCGUUCUCGGACGUUCCCUAUUUGGUACUUGUUGUGAGUACAUGGUUGAGGAGCAUAUGAGUUGGUGGUGAUACCUAUUAUGGGUACCGUUGCGAUUCAUGUGGUGGAGUCACUUUGUGGAAGUUAGGAGCUCGUCCCGGUCUGAAACCGAGUGGGUCGCCAUGCUUCACGGGAAUAUGUUAAACAUACACGCCACUCGCCGAAGUAUGGGUUUAGGUCCGAGUCAAGACUGGCAAGUGCGGUACCAUACCUGCCGCAAGAUAGACUAUCAGUGUAGGGGGAAAAGGUGUUGACCUAUGGCCCCCUGAUUUGCUUUUGCCUCUGAUUGGCCCUGGUGGGAGUGCUUCACAGUUCUAGGGUGGUCCACUACAGGGGAUCGCAUCCGAGCUUGGUUGCAGGAUGGUAUCGUAACUCUCAGGUUCUUCGCUCGAUAGGGUGAUGUUCUCUCGGUCGACGAACCGUUUGCGCUCACCCCGAGAUGUGUCCAGGUGUAUACGCUCUGUAGAGUUGAAACUAUACGUAUAGUCACGUCCUCGGUCAUGGACAACCAUGUGACAUCACAACUCUCCAUUGUUUUAGGAUUCUCUACCUUCCCCUUUUAGCUACAUGUGUGUGAUGUGAGCCGCAACUACAGACGGGAAGAGGGGAAGUUGCUCCCUUUUUCUUUAGGAUCCGGCUGUAGUUGUUGAGAGGCGAAGAGAGGGAGUCUUCACCUCGAACCUAGUUUGGAGUUAGGAUGUUGGUGAUAGGGAUCCCAUUGAGGCAGGUGGACCCGAUGUGAUGAGAGAUUGGGAUGAUGGAUAUAUAGUUUAUCUUUAUGCUUGCUGCUGCUUAGGAAACCCGAGCCUACUCCUUGUCUACUUUUUGACCCUUAGACAUAGGCCACUUAAAGCUUGCAUACGGAUGGUGACGUGGACCUGUCCUAUUCCUUGGGACAGCUCGUGCGUUUGCAGGUUACGAGUCCAACUUUGACAACAACUUCGAUGGAUGGUACGAUUGAGGGCUGACUGCUACGCUCAAGGAUGCCUGUGGGGAUGAUAGUGAAGCUAGAGGCACCGCCAGAAGCUAGUUACCACUGCGUUGGUUUUUAUUUGUGUCGUUUAGCCCAAGGGGCAUGUACCAGAUUGUACUCUCAUAUUCUGAGAUGUAAUAAAUAACUUGUAUUGUUAUCAUUGUAUGGAUGUGAU